CCUACGGGGCGCAGCAGUGGGGAAUAUUGCGCAAUGGGCGAAAGCCUGACGCAGCGACGCCGCGUGAGGGAUGAAGGUCUUCGGAUCGUAAACCUCUGUCAGCAGGGAAGAACGGUCACUGUGCUAAUCAGCAGUGAAUUGACGGUACCUGCAAAGGAAGCACCGGCUAACUCCGUGCCAGCAGCCGCGGUAAUACGGAGGGUGCGAGCGUUAAUCGGAAUUACUGGGCGUAAAGCGCUCGUAGGCGGUAUGUCAAGUCAAGGGUGAAAUCCCCGCGCUCAACGUGGGAACUGCCUUUGAAACUGGCAAACUGGAGUGUGUGAGAGGAUAGUGGAAUUGCAGGUGUAGGAGUGAAAGCCGUAGAUAUCUGGAGGAACAUCAGUGGCGAAGGCGACUAUCUGGCACAUAACUGACGCUGAGGAGCGAAAGCGUGGGUAGCAAACAGGAUUAGAUACCCCGGUAGUC
rnacentral:rRNA from 1 species